UGCGAAAGCCAUUGCCAAGAAUGUUUUCAUUAGUCAAGAACGAAAGUUAGAGGUUCGAAGCGAUCAGAUACCGCCCUAGUUCUAACCGUAAACGAUGUCGACCAGCAAUCCGCAACGGUCACUUUACGGACUGUGCGGGCAGCUUCCCCGGGGAAACCAGAGUGUUCGGACUCCGGGGGAAGUAUGGUUGCAAAGCUGAAACUUAAAGGAAUUGACGGAAGGGCACCACCAGGAGUGGAGCUUGCGGCUUAAUUUGACUCAACACGGGACAACUCACCAGGCCCGGACACCGUAAGGAUUGACAGACUGAUAGCUCUCUCUUGAUUCAGUGGGUGGUGGUGCAUGGCCGUUCUUAGUUGGUGGAGUGAUUUGUCUGGUUUAUUCCGAUAACGAACGAGACUCUGGCCUAUUAAACUUGACGCCGUCAGUCUCUUGUGACUGCGGUGCGCUUCUUAGAGGGAUCAUCGGCGUCCCAGCCGAAGGAAAGGGAGCAAUAACAGGUCUGUGAUGCCCUUAGAUGUUCUGGGCUGCACGCGUGUUACACUGAAGUGGUCAGCGCGCCGUUCAACACCCCUCUCCGUGAGGAGCUUGGGCAAACGUUUGAACCCUUUUCGUGAUGGGAAUUGGGGGUUGCAAUUGUCCCCCAUGAACGAGGAAUUCCAAGUAAGCGCAGGUCACUAGCCUGCGUUGAUUAAGUCCCUGCCCUUUGUACACACCGCCCGUCGCUACUACCGAUGGAUGAUUUGGUGAGGUCGCCUAGACUGGCUGCUGGCUUCGGCCGUGCGGCCGGGAAGACGCCCAAACUUGGUCGUCUA
rnacentral:rRNA from 1 species